UUUAUUUUUUAUUUCUAUAUAUUCUUUCCGAAACAUCUCCCAUCUCUUGCGUGUCUGUUUUCUGAUCGCUUGGUUUAGCCGGAGCUGAUACGGACAGAGACUCUAAGUGACUUCUGGAGACAGAGAAAUGUUCCUGAGGAAACAAUAGAGACCUGAGUCCACUGUUGGAUAUAAAUGCUCACCUCCAGUCACCAGUCCGUCAAGCUCCUGAAGUUCGCGGAUGGCACCACCCUCAUUGGUCUCAUCUCUGGUGGGGAUGAGUCCG